UAACGCGUGGAUAACCUGCCGUAUGCAGGGGGAUACCAACUGGAAACAGUUGCUAAUACCGCAUAAGCGCACAGCACCGCAUGGUGCAGUGUGAAAAGAUUUAUCGGCAUACGAUAGAUCCGCGUCCGAUUAGCCAGUUGGCGGGGUAGAAGCCCACCAAAGCGACGAUCGGUAGCCGGCCUGAGAGGGCGGACGGCCACAUUGGGACUGAGACACGGCCCAAACUCCUACGGAAGGCAGCAG
rnacentral:rRNA from 1 species